GGGCCCGCACAAGCGGUGGAGCAUGUGGUUUAAUUCGAUGCAACGCGAAGAACCUUACCUACACUUGACAUCCUCGGAAUCCUCUAGAGAUAGAGGAGUGCCUUCGGGGAACCGAGUGACAGGUGCUGCAUGGCUGUCGUCAGCUCGUGUCGUGAGAUGUUGGGUUAAGUCCCGUAACGAGCGCAACCCUCGUCCUUAGUUACCAGCACAUAAUGGUGGGGACUCUAAGGAGACUGCCGGUGAUAAACCGGAGGAAGGUGGGGAUGAGGUCAAGUCAUCAGUGGCCCUUACGUGUAGGGCUACACACGUGCUACAAUGGUCGGUACAAAGGGUUGCCAACCCGCGAGGGG
rnacentral:rRNA from 1 species